CAAGUCGAGGGGCAGCAUGUCCCGUAGCAAUACGGGAUGAUGGCGACCGGCAAACGGGUGCGGAACACGUACAGAACCUUCCUUCGAGCGGGGAAUAGCCCGGAGAAAUCCGGAUUAAUACCCCAUAGUAUGGUGAAGAGGCAUCUCUUUACUAUUAAAGAUUUAUCACUUGAAGAUGGCUGUGCGGCUGAUUAGGUAGUUGGCGGGGUAACGGCCCACCAAGCCUGCGAUCAGUAACUGGUGUGAGAGCACGACCAGUCACACGGGCACUGAGACACGGGCCCGACUCCUACGGGAGGCAGCAGUAAGGAAUAUUGGUCAAUGGACGAAAGUCUGAACCAGCCAUGCCGCGUGGAGGAUGAAGGUCCUCUGGAUUGUAAACUUCUUUUAUAUGGGACGAAAAAAGGCCUUUCCAGGUCGUCUGACGGUACCAUAUGAAUAAGCACCGGCUAACUCCGUGCCAGCAGCCGCGGUAAUACGGAGGGUGCAAGCGUUAUCCGGAUUCACUGGGUUUAAAGGGUGCGUAGGUGGGUUGGUAAGUCAGUGGUGAAAUCCCCGAGCUUAACUUGGGAACUGCCAUUGAUACUAUUAAUCUUGAAUACCGUGGAGGUCAGCGGAAUAUGUCAUGUAGCGGUGAAAUGCUUAGAUAUGACAUAGAACACCAAUUGCGAAGGCAGCUGGCUACGCGAAUAUUGACACUGAUGCACGAAAGCGUGGGGAUCAAACAGGAUUAGAUACCCUGGUAGUCCACGCCCUAAACUAUGGAUACUCGACAUCAGCGAUACACUGUUGGUGUCUGAGCGAAGCAUUAAGUAUCCACCUGGGAAGUACGAUCGCAGAUUGAAACUCAAAGGAUU
rnacentral:rRNA from 1 species